UGGGUGGAUCAGUGGCGAACGGGUGAGUAACACGUGAGCAACCUGCCCCUGACUCUGGGAUAAGCGCUGGAAACGGCGUCUAAUACUGGAUACGAGACGUGAUCGCAUGGUCAACGUUUGGAAAAGAUUUUUUCGGUUGGGGAUGGGCUCGCGGCCUAUCAGCUUGUUGGUGAGGUAAUGGCUCACCAAGGCGUCGACGGGUAGCCGGCCUGAGAGGGUGACCGGCCACACUGGGACUGAGACACGGCCCAGACUCCUACGGGAGGCAGCAGUGGGGAAUAUUGCACAAUGGGCGCAAGCCUGAUGCAGCAACGCCGCGUGAGGGAUGACGGCCUUCGGGUUGUAAACCUCUUUUAGCAGGGAAGAAGCGAGAGUGACGGUACCUGCAGAAAAAGCACCGGCUAACUACGUGCCAGCAGCCGCGGUAAUACGUAGGGUGCAAGCGUUAUCCGGAAUUAUUGGGCGUAAAGAGCUCGUAGGCGGUUUGUCGCGUCUGCUGUGAAAUCUGGGGGCUCAACCCCCAGCCUGCAGUGGGUACGGGCAGACUAGAGUGCGGUAGGGGAGAUUGGAAUUCCUGGUGUAGCGGUGGAAUGCGCAGAUAUCAGGAGGAACACCGAUGGCGAAGGCAGAUCUCUGGGCCGUAACUGACGCUGAGGAGCGAAAGGGUGGGGAGCAAACAGGCUUAGAUACCCUGGUAGUCCACCCCGUAAACGUUGGGAACUAGUUGUGGGGUCCAUUCCACGGAUUCCGUGACGCAGCUA
rnacentral:rRNA from 1 species